GAUGAACGCUGGCGGCGUGCCUAAUACAUGCAAGUCGAGCGAACGGACGAGAAGCUUGCUUCUCUGAUGUUAGCGGCGGACGGGUGAGUAACACGUGGAUAACCUACCUAUAAGACUGGGAUAACUUCGGGAAACCGGAGCUAAUACCGGAUGAUAUUUUGAACCGCAUGGUUCAAAAGUGAAAGACGGUCUUGCUGUCACUUAUAGAUGGAUCCGCGCUGCAUUAGCUAGUUGGUAAGGUAACGGCUUUCCAAGGCAACGAUGCAUAGCUGACCUGAGAGGGUGAUCGGCCACACUGGAACUGAGACACGGUCCAGACUCCUACGGGAGGCAGCAGUAGGGAAUCUUCCGCAAUGGGCGAAAGCCUGACGGAGCAACGCCGCGUGAGUGAUGAAGGUCUUCGGAUCGUAAAACUCUGUUAUUAGGGAAGAACAUAUGUGUAAGUAACUGUGCACAUCUUGACGGUACCUAAUCAGAAAGCCACGGCUAACUACGUG
rnacentral:rRNA from 1 species